GGAGGUCGUCGAGUCAUCGCCGCCUCACCGCGCCUUCGGCAGCCCGGCGGGUCGCCCAGCCGUCCCCGCUUCUACUUCGCGCCGUCCGGCGGCCAAAAGUGGAAGCAAUGUCUCGGUUCAAGAAGUUCAUGUACCGCUACUUCUGCUCUGGUACAGCAAUUCAAAUGCACUGCAGAGAGUAGUGGAUUCUGCCCAAUACAUCACAGGCACAUCCCUCCCCACCAUCGGUAGUAUCUACAGGAGGUGCUGCCUCAAGGAGGGAACGUCUAUCAUCAAAGAUCCCCACCAUCUGGCUUAUGCCAUCUUCUCGCAGCUACCACUGGGCAGGAGGUACAGAAGCCUGAAGUCCCACACCACCAGGUUUAAGAACCACUACUUCCCUUCAACCAUUCGGUUCUUGAACCAACUGGCAAAACCCUAAUCACUACUACACUAUGACCUCUCUAAUCUAAAAUGGACUUUAGUUUUGUUCUAAUUGUUUUUUUUUUGUAAAAAUUGUGUAUAAUUUAUAUUUCAUUUGUUUUUCUUGUGAAUGCUGCUUAUAUGAUGCUAUGUCUCUUGUAAUGCUGCUGGAAGUAAGCUUUUAAUUGCACCAGUGCAUACAUGUACUUGCAUAUAUGACAAUAAGCUUGACUUGGACUUUAAAUGUACAGCUGUUACCUUGUCCCACUCAUGUAGAAGUUUCCCAUCUUGUCGUCUGUUCUAAAAUGUUUAGCCUUCAAUUUAGAAGAUUUCUCAUUCCAACCCCUGGUUCAAUUAAAGGGAAAAGAUCAAAUGCUUUUGCAGUGGAUCGCCCAUAUUUCAGAACAAUUACUUAAACUAUGGUUCAUUGUCAUUUUAACAAUCAGGAUGAUAUAAAAUGUAUUUAUGCAAACCCAGAUUUGGGUUCCUGAAUUGUCCUGGAGUCUUACCAUUAAAGACGACUCAAUCUGAA